AUGAACGCUAGCUACAGGCUUAACACAUGCAAGUCGAGGGGCAGCAUGAACUUAGCUUGCUAAGUUUGAUGGCGACCGGCGCACGGGUGAGUAACACGUAUCCAACCUGCCGAUGACUCGGGGAUAGCCUUUCGAAAGAAAGAUUAAUACCCGAUGGCAUAGUUCUUCCGCAUGGUAGAACUAUUAAAGAAUUUCGGUCAUCGAUGGGGAUGCGUUCCAUUAGGUUGUUGGCGGGGUAACGGCCCACCAAGCCUUCGAUGGAUAGGGGUUCUGAGAGGAAGGUCCCCCACAUUGGAACUGAGACACGGUCCAAACUCCUACGGGAGGCAGCAGUGAGGAAUAUUGGUCAAUGGACGAGAGUCUGAACCAGCCAAGUAGCGUGAAGGAUGACUGCCCUAUGGGUUGUAAACUUCUUUUAUACGGGAAUAAAGUGAGGCACGCGUGCCUUUUUGUAUGUACCGUAUGAAUAAGGAUCGGCUAACUCCGUGCCAGCAGCCGCGGUAAUACGGAGGAUCCGAGCGUUAUCCGGAUUUAUUGGGUUUAAAGGGAGCGUAGGCGGACGCUUAAGUCAGUUGUGAAAGUUUGCGGCUCAACCGUAAAAUUGCAGUUGAUACUGGGUGUCUUGAGUACAGUAGAGGCAGGCGGAAUUCGUGGUGUAGCGGUGAAAUGCUUAGAUAUCACGAAGAACUCCGAUUGCGAAGGCAGCUUGCUGGACUGUAACUGACGCUGAUGCUCGAAAGUGUGGGUAUCAAACAGGAUUAGAUACCCUGGUAGUCCACACAGUAAACGAUGAAUACUCGCUGUUUGCGAUAUACAGUAAGCGGCCAAGCGAAAGCGUUAAGUAUUCCACCUGGGGAGUACGCCGGCAACGGUGAAACUCAAAGGAAUUGACGGGGGCCCGCACAAGCGGUGGAGCAUGUGGUUUAAUUCGAAGCAACGCGAAGAACCUUACCAAGUCUUGACAUCCUGCGACGCACAUAGAAAUAUGUGUUUCCUUCGGGACGCAGAGACAGGUGGUGCAUGGUUGUCGUCAGCUCGUGCCGUGAGGUGUCGGCUUAAGUGCCAUAACGAGCGCAACCCUUAUCGAUAGUUACCAUCAGGUGAUGCUGGGGACUCUGUCGAGACUGCCGUCGUAAGAUGUGAGGAAGGUGGGGAUGACGUCAAAUCAGCACGGCCCUUACGUCCGGGGCUACACACGUGUUACAAUGGGGGGUACAGAAGGCAGCUACACGGCGACGUGAUGCUAAUCCCUAAAGCCUCUCUCAGUUCGGAUUGGAGUCUGCAACCCGACUCCAUGAAGCUGGAUUCGCUAGUAAUCGCGCAUCAGCCACGGCGCGGUGAAUACGUUCCCGGGCCUUGUACACACCGCCCGUCAAGCCAUGAAAGCCGGGGGUACCUGAAGUGCGUAACCGCGAGGAGCGCCCUAGGGUAAAACUGGUGAUUGGGGCU
rnacentral:rRNA from 1 species